ACUUCUCACAUUAUACAAUGAAACAACUGCUUUUGUGAAGAAAAGAGCGCUUUUUUAUUAACUGCAAUAAUAUGUUAGAAGGAGACGGUUGAUGGAGGAGACGGCGGCGGAGGAGGAAAGCAGGGCGUAUUACUGGGUGGCGGCCUCUGAAGAGUGGCAAGUAAUAAAGUACAUCCUACCCACCUUUCUGAAGAAGCUUGGUACACGAAUCUAAGAGGGAGCCAGCAAUGAUGACUACUGAUGUGGUGCCAUCCCCUGCUUCUAUAUCUUGAGCCUUAGACAGCUCCACCAGCUAAGUGAACAGAAAAUGCCAAGUUGCUCAAUGAGAAAUGAGAGAACCCAGUAACACCUAAUUCAAGUAAUCACACCAGUGUCACAAACAGAAUUUGUGGAUUCAACAUGAUUCCUGAUUUCUGAUUUGUUGUCUACCUUGGGUUUCAUUUAAAAUUAAAGACUAAUAGAUGAUCUCCAGUUCAGAUUGUGGGUUGUCAUCUCCCCCUGCCCUGCUACUCAAAGGUUCUAAUCAGAAAGCAAAAAUGUAUCAUAGGUACUCUAUAGACUCGGAAGCUAAGAAAUGGGGCAUUCCAGAUGAGAGAGACUAGAGUAUGUUUUUGUUUUUU